rnacentral:rRNA from 1 species
UACGUAGGGUCCGAGCGUUGUCCGGAAUUACUGGGCGUAAAGAGCUCGUAGGUGGUUUGUCGCGUUGUUCGUGAAAACUCACAGCUCAACUGUGGGCGUGCGGGCGAUACGGGCAGACUUGAGUACUGCAGGGGAGACUGGAAUUCCUGGUGUAGCGGUGGAAUGCGCAGAUAUCAGGAGGAACACCGGUGGCGAAGGCGGCUUUCUGGGCCUUACCUGACGCUGAGACGCGAAAGCGUGGGGAGCGAACCGG